rnacentral:rRNA from 1 species
UUGACAUGCAGAGAACUUCCAGAGAUGGAUUGGUGCCUUCGGGAACGUCUGACACAGGUGCUGCAUGGCUGUCGUCAGCUCGUGUCGUGAGAUGUUGGGUUAAGUCCGUAACGAGCGCAACCCUUGUCCUUAGUUACCAGCACGUUAUGGUGGGCACUCUAAGGAGACUGCCGGUGACAAACCGGAGGAAGGUGGGGAGUGACGUCAAGUCAUCAUGGCCCUUACGGCCUGGGCUACACACGUGCUACAAUGGUCGGUACAAAGGGUUGCCAAGCCGCGAGGUGGAGCUAAUCCCAUAAAACCGAUCGUAGUCCGGAUCGCAGUCUGCAACUCGACUGCGUGAAGUCGGAAUCGCUAGUAAUCGUGAAUCAGAAUGUCACGGUGAAUACGUUCCCGGGCCUU